AGUGGCUGGUUCUCUUGGUUCCUGCUGUCAAAGGUCUUUGAUCUAGCUGCUCAUCAUCCUUCAUCUUCUUUAUAACCAAGUGGCUGGUUCUCUUGGUUCCUGCUGUCAAAGGUCUUUGAUCUAGCUGCUCAUCAUCCU